GAAAUGCGAUAAGUAAUGUGAAUUGCAGAAUUCAGUGAAUCAUCGAAUCUUUGAACGCACAUUGCGCCCGCCAGUAUUCUGGCGGGCAUGCCUGUUCGAGCGUCAUUUCAACCCUCAAGCCCCCGCGCUUGGUGUUGGGUGCCGGCGUCAGCGUCUCCCUCCAGAGCGCCCGCCGCCCCCGAAAUUGAUUGGCGGCCUCGUCGCAGCCUCCCUUGCGUAGUAACAUACCACCUCGCAUGGCGGAGCGCGGCGCGGCCACUGCCGUAAAACACCCCAAUUUCUCAGAGUUGACCUCGGAUCAGGUAGGAAUACCCGCUGAACUUAA
rnacentral:misc_RNA from 1 species